rnacentral:rRNA from 1 species
UAGGGAAUCUUCGGCAAUGGGGGGAACCCUGACCGAGCAACGCCGCGUGAGUGAAGAAGGUUUUCGGAUCGUAAAGCUCUGUUGUUAAGGAAGAACGAGUGUGAGAAUGGAAAGUUCAUGCUGUGACGGUACUUAACCAGAAAGGGACGGCUAACUACGUGCCAGCAGCCGCGGUAAUACGUAGGUGGCAAGCGUUGUCCGGAUUUAUUGGGCGUAAAGCGAGCGCAGGCGGUCAAUUAAGUCUGAUGUGAAAGCCCCCGGCUCAACCGGGGAGGGUCAUUGGAAACUGGUUGACUUGAGUGCAGAAGAGGAAAGUGGAAUUCCAUGUGUAGCGGUGAAAUGCGUAGAUAUAUGGAGGAACACCAGUGGCGAAGGCGACUCUCUGGUCUGUAACUGACGCUGAGGUUCGAAAGCGUGGGUAGCAAACAGG